AGAGUUUGAUCCUGGCUCAGGACGAACGCUGGCGGCGUGCCUAAUACAUGCAAGUCGAACGAAACUUUCUUACACCGAAUGCUUGCAUUCAUCGUAAGAAGUUGAGUGGCGGACGGGUGAGUAACACGUGGGUAACCUGCCUAAAAGAAGGGGAUAACACUUGGAAACAGGUGCUAAUACCGUAUAUCUCUAAGGAUCGCAUGAUCCUUAGAUGAAAGAUGGUUCUGCUAUCGCUUUUAGAUGGACCCGCGGCGUAUUAACUAGUUGGUGGGGUAACGGCCUACCAAGGUGAUGAUACGUAGCCGAACUGAGAGGUUGAUCGGCCACAUUGGGACUGAGACACGGCCCAAACUCCUACGGGAGGCAGCAGUAGGGAAUCUUCCACAAUGGACGCAAGUCUGAUGGAGCAACGCCGCGUGAGUGAAGAAGGUCUUCGGAUCGUAAAACUCUGUUGUUAGAGAAGAACACGAGUGAGAGUAACUGUUCAUUCGAUGACGGUAUCUAACCAGCAAGUCACGGCUAACUACGUGCCAGCAGCCGCGGUAAUACGUAGGUGGCAAGCGUUGUCCGGAUUUAUUGGGCGUAAAGGGAACGCAGGCGGUCUUUUAAGUCUGAUGUGAAAGCCUUCGGCUUAACCGGAGUAGUGCAUUGGAAACUGGAAGACUUGAGUGCAGAAGAGGAGAGUGGAACUCCAUGUGUAGCGGUGAAAUGCGUAGAUAUAUGGAAGAACACCAGUGGCGAAAGCGGCUCUCUGGUCUGUAACUGACGCUGAGGUUCGAAAGCGUGGGUAGCAAACAGGAUUAGAUACCCUGGUAGUCCACGCCGUAAACGAUGAAUGCUAGGUGUUGGAGGGUUUCCGCCCUUCAGUGCCGCAGCUAACGCAAUAAGCAUUCCGCCUGGGGAGUACGACCGCAAGGUUGAAACUCAAAGGAAUUGACGGGGGCCCGCACAAGCGGUGGAGCAUGUGGUUUAAUUCGAAGCAACGCGAAGAACCUUACCAGGUCUUGACAUCCUUUGACCACCUAAGAGAUUAGG
rnacentral:rRNA from 2 species